CCCAGCUGGGACUGCCGUCAGGAGCAGGAACGCACUGCAACCACAUGCCCGACUCGCACACUUCUGUGUCCGGAGACACCAGCCGCCCGUCUAGGGUGGCCAAACUGAAGGUCCUCAAAGAUAUCUGUGAUAAAGAAGUUUACCUCAUCACUAAGGUCUUGCUCAGAGUCACAGCAGAUGGUGCAGGUGAAAGGUUGAGGUCCAUGAGAAUCAGAAUCAGAUUGGUAAAUGGAAAUGCUGAACAGUCAAAAUAAAGGUUUCAAAAGGGAGUUUUCACAGCAGUGCCAUAGAAGAACCAUUUUAGCUUCCAACAAGAAGCUUUUAUUGAACAGUUCUUAAAAGAACAUUUUUUCUUAGUGUGAAGAACUUUUAAAAACCCAAAGAAUCUUUUUUUACACUAUAAAGAACUUUUGUGGAAUGGAAAUGUUCCAUGGAUGUUUAAGAUUGUUCGUUGAACCAUAGAUGCCAUAGAACCUUUAUUUUUAAGUGUUGUUGAUCAAGGAUGUUGAUCCAUGAACAUAUCCGACGUGGCAAAAUCAUGGUCCUCGAGUUACUAAGAUAACAUUAUUUACACACCGCUGGUGAUGUAUGACGGAUUUCUCCAAUCAUUUAGUUUGCUUAAACCCCGCCCCUCCACAAUCUACUGAAUUCAUUUUUUACUGCCACGCCCCCAUCUCGAUAUCCAAUCGAAAAACUAAUGCAUAAAACCAAGUCCCGCCCUAACUUUUUUUUUUUUGGUGUUUCAUUUGGAUGUACAUCAGUCACUGUCGUAUGGCUUUAGAAGACUUGGAAUAUACACUUUAAAAAAAUAAAGAUUCCAAAAGGGGGGUUUUGCAGUGAUGCCGUAGAAGAACCAUUUUUGGUUCCCCAAGGAACCUUUCAGUGAAACAUUCUUAAAAGAACAUUUUUUCUAGGUGUGAAGAACUUUUUCCUACUAUAAAAAACAUUUUGUCCAAUGGAAAUGUUCCAUGAAAGUUAAAGGUUCUUCAUGGAACCAUAGAUGUCAAUAAAGAACCUUUAUUUUUAAGUCAUGUGGACUGCUGCUUUUCCACAUUCACUUUCAUUGUUUAUUUCACAUUCUUUAUUUCAGUGCAUAGAAGAAAGAAAUCAAAGACGAAAUGGACAGAUAUUUAGUUUGAAUCAAAUCAAUCACACACACAACA